UGAAUUUACUACUGUAAGUCGCUCUGGAUAAGAGCGUCUGCUAAAUGACUAAAA
rfam:Salmo salar isolate Sally breed double haploid chromosome ssa10, whole genome shotgun sequence.